CGUCUAACAUGUAUAUACAUCACUGCGGGGCUGACUGACAUCUGGAGGCAUGAAUCCACUGUGGAAAAAGAUCGGUUAAUACCCCCGUGCGUGUGACAGCGAGUACAGUAGUGGGUUCAGAGAAAGGGGAGUCUGAAAAACCCUUUCUCUCAAAUUUCUUGACCAAUACCUGAUCGCCCGGCUUAAAAGCAUGGGUUGAGACCUUGGGAGGGUCUGUGAUAGUUUGGUUGACCCUCUCCCAGUAUUCAUUCAGAACAGUUAACAACCCUGCGGUGUACUCGCUGCGACGCACAUCCAAGUCCGCCGUUCCCCCCAGAGCCGUUUUCUGACGCCAUGGGAGGGGGAACGGACGUCCCAUGACAAUUUCAUACGGCGACAGACCACCCAGAGUGUCUGUGCGCGCCAUCCGCAGUUUGGCCAAAACUACAGGUAAAACCUUCACCCAAUUAGUAGUGUUCUGCGUCUGCAUGGCCUUUCAUAACCGCCCUUUUAUAGUCCGAUUAACCCUUUCGACCAUACCCGAGGAUUGAGGGUGAUAGGGGAUGUGGAAAGCCCAGUCUAUGCUCAGGUGCUUCGCGAGCAUCUGUGUGACUUUGGAGGUGACCGGUGUGCCUUUGUCGGAAGAGCACACGUCUGCACU